UAUAUAUGGUCUACUUCAUGCUGUGAAUUAGCCGUCUAAGUUACAUUGAUCUGGUGAAUGAAGACCAGCUUUUUCUCUAGAAGAGGGCAAAAAUAAUCUAAUAAUAGGUCUUUAUGUUUAUAAUGGGGGAUAAACAUGAGCUGCAGCAGCUGCAAUUACAUUUGAAUCAAUUUGUUUAUCUGCUUACCUCCAUUGUCAUUUGUUUACUAUCAAACUGGUUACAUUGCUAUGAUGAAUAAUUACUGAGACGUAUUGUAGUGACUGCAGUAGUAAAGAAGUGAUUUAAAUACUCAUUACCAUGUCUAUACUGGGAACACGAUUAUCUGCAUUAUACAAGGCAAAUGGAAUCGCUAGGUGUCAUCCUAAUCCUACUGCUCUGCCUCUUUAUCCUUUUAGUCAGUGUUUGACAUUUUUUUGUUGAUUUGUCACUGUCGCACUUAUUUCUAAAGAUUUGCUGCUACCAUUUUUCUCUUCAUAUCUAACAAUUUUGUUCCUGUUAUUGUCAUAUUUCUUUAAAAGAAAAGACCAUGUUGUUGUUUUCGUAAAGCCACCAAUGUACCCCAGAUAUUAUGUGGUCAUCAUUCUGUAGCUAUUUUUUCUGCCUUAGAGUAGAAUGUGUGAUGAUCAUACAAGUUAAUGCGCAUAACUUGAUUGGUGUUUAAUCUUCUAGGCUGAAAGACCAUGACAUGGAAUUUAGCAGUAGCAGAUUAUAUUUUAUAGCACAAAGAGCAUUUGAGUUGCUGAAAGAAUCACCUUCAAUGGAGCUUGAAGCCACUCCUGACGAUGAAGUAUUCAGCUCAAAUGAUGAGAUGCAGGAGUUGUGGCCUCUGGGAGAAGUAGACCCAAAGAAAGCAAGGUUUCCUUGUUGCACUGUCUGGACUCCUCUCCUGUAGUUUCUUGGCUGGCGCGCUACAUUGGGCAUGUGGGGAUUGCCCGGGAGGAUGGAAUUGUCAUCGAAUUUGGUGAGUGUCGAUGAUCUUGCUUAUGGUUCUGCAGCAAGAUGCCUUCAGCCUGAUAGGAAGAAGUUGCUGAGUUGAAGAAUAAGGUCCAAAUGAUUUCAAUGGCUGCAAAGGAUAGGACAGGAGGAGGCAAUUGGCAUGGGUAGCUUCAUGAAGCUGAUGAGGUUGGUGCUGGGAGACGGAUGUGCCAUUCGUGGCGAAGGUGAUGAAUUUCUCCGGCCUUGUCCAAAUUGCAUCUUGAUUACAAGUUUCUGGGUCUUCUGUGCUGAGUUCCUCCUGGUGAUGUCCAAAUUGCAUCUUGAUUCCAAGCAUUGCCAAGAAUCUUAAAUGCUGCAUUUUCUGGUAUGAAGUAAACUAACAUUUAUUUGGCUUUGCUACUUUAAUUGACAGUCAACCCUCUUUUUGUAACUUUCCGUGCUUAUUCCAAGGAUCAAAUAUGCAGCAUAAUUAAGCAUGGACUAAAGGUAAAUAUCCCGUCAUGUUACCAUUUCAGAAAUCACAAGAGAUGCUUGAUUCUUCUUGAGAUCUGUCAGUCAGUGUGUGGGCGAAUUCCUCCAUUGCAUCGGAUGCAGAUUCCAUUCCAUUCAUGUCCUUACUGAUUUGUGGUCGGUGUGGUGAACUUGGCGCGUCAACUGUUUCUCAGUCUGUUAAUUCAGUAGUCAUUCCAUUAGUUCAUACUUGUGACGGUCUUGCUGAAUCAAAUAUAUGAGGCAUUAGUAUCAUCCCCCUGCAAUGGUGAAAUUUGGGCUAUUCAGAAAAAUAUAUGCCCGUCCAUGAAAAAUGUCUUAGAUUCAGAAUUUUGGAGUUGCUGCCCACAUGUGCAUUCAUUGUUCAUGCAUUGAUCUAGAUGGUAGUCAAGAGAAAAAAAAAUAGUGGGCUAUUCAGAUGAUUUGGUUAUCUGAAUUUGGGCUAUUGAGACAUUUAGUUAUUUGAAUAAUGGGUUAAAUUUAUUCCAAGAGGUUCAUGUUCAAUAGCAGCAAGGAAAAAUAUGUGUUAACUGUAGUUUACUGCUAAUGUGCCUAUGGCCCAUAUUGUGACUGUUUUGAUUUUUGAAUUUCACUAAUGCAACAUCUUUCCAUUUGUUGCAGGUUUCAGUGAAUCAAUUACAAGUGGAAAAGCAGUAUCAUUUGAAUCGUGAAUUACUUGACUGAAGAAACACCUCUGUUCACCAUCUAUAUGAAAUUAUGAAUAAAAAUAGAGCUGAUAUUUGCUUUGUGUUAUUCAAGUCUUCAGAAUCCAAACAUUGCUUUGUUUAUUGUCUUUCAAACAAUUACUUUCAUCUUAGGUGUUUUCUUGCAUGGUGAACAUAUUGUCGCUUGACUUCGAUCUUUCAGGACUUCACCUGAAAGAACUACAACUUUUUAAGAGAGAGCAAUAGAAAUAAAAAUGUUUUCCUGUGAA